rnacentral:pre_miRNA from 15 species
CGCUUCCUGGUUAUCACGUGACGCAGUUUGGCACGAGCUCAACGUGCAAAACUUGAGAUAAGGUCAGCUGUUCGGCUGGCCGCUACAUGCUGUUUUGUUCGUUCGGCUCGCGUCAAAUUGCAGUCACACUAUCACCAACAACAAC